AUUGCCGUAGUACGAAACAAAGAGAAAGCGUGUGAAGGCAUUGAUUGUUUGAUGGAACAACCGAGUAACGAUAUCUCUCAAGAAGAAGCACGUGAGUCUCUCAUUGCCAUCUCCUACACUUCACCUGAAGAGGAGCAAGAGUCUAUAACGUCCUCAGAUGUGAAACCUGUCGUCACUACUACAACAAACGGAGUCGUCACUAAAAGAAACUCUGAAGAUGCGGAAAAGCUCAGAUCAGAGCUGAUUUCUAUCUCCUACGACGAGUCACCUUCACCCUCACCAGCUGCAGCUGUCUGAUAGGAGUAACUGUACAGAUCAAAGUCUUUUCCUUUCUCAUGCAGACGACUUUGGUUUUGUUUGAAAGUUAGACCCUCUUCAACUAUAUAUGAUUGAAAAUUGACGAAACUUUUUCUUCUC